AUCGCUUCUCAGCCUUUUGGCUAAGAUCAAGUGUAGUAUCUAAAUAUACAAUCAUGUCAACUGCCAAUAGAGACAAUUCAGCUUCCUCUUUUCCUAAUUGAAUACCCCUUAUUUCUUUUUCUUACCUGAUUACUCUGGCUAGAACUUCCAAUACUAUAUUGAAUAUGAGUGGUGAGAGAGGGCUUCCUU